UCAGCAAACCUUCGGAAGACUCCACGGACAUAAAAAAAGCCGCCUUCAUUUGCUGCCUGUCAAGAAAAGGGAGGGAAGGGCAGUUGAAUCCAAGGAGGUGGGUUACUCUAUAAAGGCUGUCACUGUGGCAUUAAGGAGAUUCUCUAAGGAAAGCAACAUGAGGAAAGUCAUCUGAGAAAUUUCACUUGUCCAAUGGGGAACAAAUAUAAGUUUCAAUGAAAUAUCUCCAAAAGAAAAAUGCCAUAAUCAUGCACUUUGUAAAAUCAUGUAAUAAAUAUAGAUGUACGAAUAAAUUUGUAAAAUCAGAAUAAAUAGAUUUUGGAUAACAGUAUUUUUGCUCCUUUAAAAAAAAAAAAAAAAGAUUCAACUGAUUGCAAAAAGAACAAAUUAACUGUUUGGCCACUCAUCUCAUUUACUCUGGACUGACAGAGCAAAAGAAUCUCAAACAGACAAUGCUCUUGAGACAUCAGGAAGUUCUGCAUUUAAUCAGGUGGGUGAAGUUGUUAAGGUGCCAGCCUAGAAACCAGGAGACUGUGAGUUCUAGUCUUAGCCUGGGUGAUUUUGGGCCAAUCACACCAGGAGGUGGCCAGUUUGAGUCCCAUCUUAGCCACGAAAGCUGCUGGCUGGGCGACUUUGGGCCAGUUCCUCACUCUCUCUCAGCCUAACCCACACCUCACAAGGUGGAAGGAGGAGGAUUAUAUAUGUUCACGUUGAAUUACUUAUGGACUAGUAAAGGGAUAAAACUCUAACAAAUAAACAAAUACAUAAUAAAGACCACGUGCUCUAUCUCUGUUACAACCUUGCUUCUGAAUAGCACUUUGUUGUUCAUUUUCGAUGACAAAUUUCACACAUACAGAAAGAUGUGACUUUUUUUUAAUACUCUAGCUUAAUAAAGUUUCAGCAGACACAAAGAUU